rnacentral:rRNA from 1 species
CCUACGGGUGGCAGCAGUGAGGAAUAUUGGUCAAUGGGCGGAAGCCUGAACCAGCCAAGUCGCGUGAGGGAAUAAGGCCCUACGGGUCGUAAACCUCUUUUGCCGGGGAGCAAGGGCUGGGACGUGUCCCGGCCCGGAGAGUUCCCGGAGAAAAAGCAUCGGCUAACUCCGUGCCAGCAGCCGCGGUAAUACGGAGGAUGCGAGCGUUAGCCGGAUUUAGUGGGUUUAAAGGGUGCGUAGGCGAGCUUUUAAGUCAGCGGUAAAAAUUCGGGGCGCAACCCCGUCCGGCCGUUGAAACUGGGGGCCGUGAGUGGGCGAGAAGAAGGCGGAAUGCGUGGUGUAGCUGUGAAAUGCAUAGAUAUCACGCAGAACCCCGAUUGCGAAGGCAGCCUUCUGGCGCCCUACUGACGCUGAGGCACGAAAGUGCGGGGAGCGAACAGGAUUAGAUACCCUUGUAGUC